GAUGAACGCUGGCGGCGUGCCUAAUACAUGCAAGUCGAGCGAACGGACGAGAAGCUUGCUUCUCUGAUGUUAGCGGCGGACGGGUGAGUAACACGUGGAUAACCUACCUAUAAGACUGGGAUAACUUCGGGAAACCGGAGCUAAUACCGGAUAAUAUUUUGAACCGCAUGGUUCAAAAGUGAAAGACGGUCUUGCUGUCACUUAUAGAUGGAUCCGCGCUGCAUUAGCUAGUUGGUAAGGUAACGGCUUACCACGGCAACGAUGCAUAGCCGACGUGAGGGGGUGAUCGGCGACACGGGAAGGUGGACACGGUCCAGACUCCUGCGGGAGGCAGCAGUAUGGUAUCUUCCGCAGUGGGCGAAAGCCUGGCGGAGCAACGCCGCGUGAGUGAUGGAGGUGUUCGGUUCGUAAAACUCUGUUAUUAGUGAAGAACAUAUGUGUAAGUAACUGUGCACAUCUUGACGGUACCUAAUCAGAAAGCCACGGCUAACUACGUG
rnacentral:rRNA from 1 species